GAGUUUCGGGCGCUGAGUCGAAUGGUCUUGGUCCGAAGUCUCUACGACAAAGCGUUCUUGAGAUAUUUCACUUUGAAAUUGCAAAAACGGGGGCCGCGCCCUGACGUCAUGCGGCCAUUUGGUUACAUCAUCACGGGCUGCCUACGUCAUUGUGGCAAAGUCGUUUCUCUUCGCCAGUCUACAAGCACUAAUUUUAGUUGGUAUUUCAAGGGAAGAUGGGCGAUUCCGAACAAUCCUCUGUCCCCAGCAAUGAAGGCAGCGAUGCUGAGGCCAGUGAGGACGACCAACAGCCCACCGCCGCGUAUGGUUGGGGCAGGGAGCCCAGAUACUCUGCUGAGGAGCUGCCAUCGCGUGUAACAAAUGUGGAGGAAGAAGAUGCGUCAGCAGCUGCGUCCGACAGAAGACGAGUAGCUUGGCCACCAGAAUCUCGAUUCGUUUGGGACUCCGACUGGUGCGAGCGUGGACAAAAGUGUAUAGCCAUGCCCAGCCCGCGGGAAUGAUUUUGCUGGUAGGAUGCUGCCGUCGCUGUCGACAAGACGGCCCAAGGUUUCUUGCGUAGCGGACCUCGCAGAUUACGAGAUCGUAUCCUUGCAUUAGGCUGUGCUCAUCACUGCUCUUCGAGGUUAUCUCGACAUGCAGAAGCCGCCAAUGCCAGUGACAGAAGAGUCUGACAUUAGAUCUCUACGCUAUGCGGCACACAGGCAGUACACACUAUGUACACGGCAAAUUGGGCAAGCACGUUCGUUGUCGUCUUCCAGCCUGCGUUGUGAAUACCAUCAGGCAAAGAUAUCCAAAUCCUGCACCACCUCAGCCUUCUCAGGAGGCUUCCACCUGGAAUUUGGCAGGGAAACACGCUUCUCCAAGGCAGGAACAUGGAGGUUGCCAUUUGCAACCGCUACCACCUCACACAUGAGCUUGUCAACAUACUCAUAGCUCUUUCUGUCGUAUAAUUUUCUAUUUGGCCACAGUCUUCUUUAUGCUUUGAGAACUGGACUUUAUACCUUCC